GAGAAUCGUCAUAAUGUCGGGUAAAAUUUCUGGUUUCUUUGCCUAUCAUCGGUGCGGCUGCUAGGGCUUGUUUAUUUUGUUUCGAGAAAGAGUGCUGUGUGUUAUGGCUUUCCGUUUCGGAGGAAAACAAUUGGCUGGUGCUGGUGCUGGCCGGGUUUUGCUUGGAGCAUCAACAGCACAAAUCAGGGGAUAUUGCCAGCAAGCCUCAUCCGCUCCAGAAUGCACAGUUCGCCGUGGUGCUAUGCUUUUUGUUACCGGGGCAGUAUCAGCUCUUACUGUCUGCCAUCUCUUGUUAAGACCUAAGCUGAAUGCAGCCAGGGAAAAGGCGCGUGCUCGUCGAUUGUACUGGGAAGCUCUGAAAAAAUGACUCGCUGUUAAUAGUGUAAACUUAUUUAUGAGGAUGUAUUGUUGGCCGUUUACUAAAUUCCCUACGUGUAGAGACUUAAUUCUGUGAUCUUGUACAAAUCAUUCAUGUAGAAAGAGACUAAACUAUGCUGUCAGUCCGAAUAUUUUAAGUUUUGUGGUCAUAACUGUUUUCCUCGAUUUUAUU